GGAGCAGUGGCCGAGCGGCUGAAGGCAGCGGUCUUGAAAACCGCCGAUGCUGAAAGGUAUCCGUAGGUUCGAAUCCUACCUGCUCCG
rnacentral:tRNA from 1 species